GCUCAGCUUUGGCCCCUACCUCCUGGAGAAGACAGAGGUCCUGGCUGAGUACAAGAAGAAACGGAAGGAUGCCAACAACAACUUUGUGGGCGACACUAGUCCCUGUGGAGGCUAUUACGUUUGACCCUGAGACCCAUUUCCCAGUAAUCACUGACAGCUGUACCGGCUGCACUCUCUGCCUCAGCAUCUGCCCCAUCAUCGACUGCAUCAAAAUGGUUACCAGGCCAACACUGUACGUGCCUAAGAGGGGGCUGCCUCAAGCUGUUAAUCCAGUUUGCUAAAGGCUAGAACAGGGCCAUGUUCAUUAGGCGCAAAAUGGAAGAAAAUGUAUUGAAACAGGGAGAUACUACUUGGGCUAGUCCAAUGAGAAAUGGUCAUUUUCGUUUCCUGUUGCAAAAUGUUUUAAUACAUUUUCUACUGUGUGCUCUAAUGAAUACGACCCAUGCUUUACCUGACCACCGUAGAGCGGAGGGGGGAGAAGAGAAGGAGAGGACCAAUGUCUACUUCACACCAUUGAUUGGCCACAUAAUUGCAGAGUGAAAAAUUACCUUUAUUAUGAACAUUUAUAAUUAUCUAGAAGCAGUAAUUACCUUAUAUUCCCAAGCCAAUUAUUCUGAAAUAAUUGUGCCGGGCACCAAAUAGUUACAGUGUUAUUUCUAAAACAGUGGCUUGCAAUGUGGGGUUUAGUUUUUUGUCUGCCCUGCUGGAAUUGAUAGAGAUUGUGUGUUGAAGUUUCCAUGGUUCAAUUCAAGGUGUAUACUGAUAAUCAUAUUCAUUGAUUAUCAUCUUUUGGACCAGUGGAAAUUGCAAUGCACUGUUCAAAGACAGAUGAAUGCAAUCAUGGUGUACAGGUUAUAGUUCUGUUAUAUUAAGUAUGUUAAUAAUGAACUGGGGGAUAAUAGGAAAGGUUUUGGUGGAAAUUAGGACUCUAUUCAAUCUGUAUCGCUAAAGUAUUACAGAUUACGCGAUAAAAAUGUAAAGGUAAUUUCUGAUUAAGCCGACAUGCAGCGCUUACCAUGAAUGCAGUCUCCGAUAACGCGGGAACAUUGGUUUUAAAUUUCAAAUAUACUGUCACGCUGAACUUCCACGAUACGGAUUGAGUAGAGCUCUAAUAUAGUUUGGGGUGACUUGAUUUUGAAAUAGAUUUUCCUGUGAUUUUGUGUAUAUUCUUUAAGGCGAUCAUAUGCCUUUUAGCUUGAUGUAUUGAUGAGUAGAAAAAUAGCACAUGAAUAAUGUUUUGUGCAUUAUAGGUUGAGACAGGUUUUAAUAUAUAUUUUAGGGAAAUUGUAUUAAAUUGUGAUUUGUUUUAUUUAAUAAUCAUAUUUAUGACAAUCAUAUAACCUGCAAUCUAGGUAUAUAUGUGAGUGACUUCAAGAUCAGACACCUACUCAAUUAUAUCUGAACACUUUUAGAGAAAAUCCAUCAAUCUUAUGCCCUAUUCAUAAUCAAUGAACAGACUGGUUUGAAAAACAAAACAUUUUUUGUUGUGUUAAUGCAAUCUCUACACAAUUCCCUUUUUCCCCCAAAAAACGUUUUUCCCCAAAAAUUCACAAACAAACACCCAAUUCUGUGUAUGGGGUAAGCUGUUGAGUUAAUUAAAAUGCCAUCGCUGCCAUCUCUGGAUAAGGGUAGUCGCUCCAUGAAAGGGUAUUAUUUGAAAAUUAUUUUACAUACUUGUUUGAAAUAGUAGACAGCCACUGAAAUUGGUUAUUUCAUAUGUUCUUAUGUCUUAUGUUAACUAUUUAAAAGAGAGCAGCAUCUCCAUAAUUCAUUUUUUAAGCCAAUUUAAGACAUUUCACCAAGGGGCCGAUUCCGACCCGAGUUAAACGCCCGUAAAUGCAAAGGAAUUCCCUUUUCAUGCACUUUUCUCUCUACGUGUAUUCUGACCUUGAACUUAAGCAUGGGAAUAGCUGUUCCAUUACGCAGAAUUUAAAUUGUAUGGCCUUUCAACUUACAGCAAUGGGCACUUUCGAAUGUCUUAAUUAUAUGCUACCCCAGCUUUCUCUGUUUCCUAUUUCUAUCGUGUUAAAUAUUAGUCACUAUCAGUAUCGACUGUCAGUAGCAUAAUAACCACACAUAUUCAACUGUCAAUUUACUGUUAGUUCCAUUCAGUUGGUAUAGCCUACGUUAUCAUUCCAUUUAAUUACAUUGCUUUGUUUACUUUCAUUGGCUUCCUCUGUAAACAACGUCACAGCCAUGUGGUUGUUGCUGAGGAUCAUUAGUAACAGUUGAUUAAAAAAAAAUUGUAAAAAGACGUGCAGACUUAUUAAAUCGUUAUGAAGCGGAGGGCAGAGCAAGCCAUAGCAGUUUGAACCAGACGCACACAGUUCCAUGGUUAGUGUAGGGAAUAGACAAGGCUACUAUUGUAAACUAUUAUAAUUCUAUAUAUACACCAUAAUCUUCCAACAGUAACAUGGAUUAAAUAGCUGAAUGUGGCAAUUUUCAGAAUGAAUCAAGCCACUGUUUUCUUUCUUUUGUGCUUAAAGGCUCUCCAAACCAGUUUUUUAUGAUUCAUAAACACUUUUCUAACCCUAAAUAAUCUACAAGAUCAAAGCAUUUUUUUAUCUACCAAUUGGGGCUGAAAUGGAGAUGAAUAUGCAUAUAUUUAGAAGGCUUUCUUUCAUUGAUCCCUAAUAUUCUGAACCUGUUCUCUCUAUUUAUUCUAGUGAGUCUGUUGACAAAAUUCGAACUAAAAGGUACAACGUAUUUUAAAGGGAUGGUUUAAGAUAAAUACUAUAAACCCUAUUGAAUGAACAUCCAGGAGAAAAUCUGUUGGCCAGGAAGUGGCAUUUAUUCAGCGUGUGCAAGGUAACCACACCUCCAAAAGGGUUCUUCAGCUGUCCUCAUAGAAGAACCCUUUUUGGUUCCAGGUAGAAAUAUUUUGCAUCCAUGUAGAACCCUCUGUGGAAAGGGUUCUAUAUGGAACCAAAAACAGUUCUACUUGGAUCCAAAAGGGUUUCAGCUGGAACGAACAAAGGUUCUUCAAAGGGUUCUCCUAUGGGGACAGCCGGAGAACCCAUUUUAGGUUCUAGAUGGCACCUUUCGUUCUAACAGUGUAUACAUUCCACCUCCUAUCCACUAAUGCUCCAGAAAAACUUUAUACAUCUCCAUUACUUGUAUUUCUUUAAUGAACUGGUAUUUGAGAAAUCAGCCUUAAGUUCAAACCCAGACCCAAAGCCCUGUUCUCUGUUCCUGCAGUGAGGCUCAAUCCUGUCUCCAUCUUGUAGGAUCCGACAGCUAUUCACAUUCCCAACCCAGACAUACAUCCUCUCUCCCUCCCUCUUUCAUGCAGCAUCCCAGACAACUUCCCCUUUCCUCCAUGAUUGUAAUUAGGAGAUGAUAUGUGAAACUGCCACAUCCAUUUGCGAUAUUACAACAACAAAGACUUUACUUCAAACAACAAACAGUUUUUUUUCCUCUCUGACAUCAUUGCACGUGCAGUAGAACAGCAGAGUAUGUACUUUCACUUUAUUUCACCAAGUUGCUGGAUGCUCAUUUCCUCAAAACAAGAUCUCAGCUUUAAUCAUUCACAAAUGCUCAUAGACAAUGCCCUUCUUACGCUGUCAGUCCUUAUGUCACAGACAAAUAAUAUUGACCUAUCCACUGGGAUGGUGACCUAUGUUUGACACCAGCAAGUCGGUGCUGUUUAAGCUACUAUGGAGACAGAAGUCAGGUGAUCAUACCACAAUGCAAUUCAAUGACCAGAGAACCCUUCCUAGUAUGAAAUCAAAAAAACAGUGUAGUUUUCACGUGCUACCUGUAGGUCAAUACCAUAACUGACCAGUCACCCUUCACCUCAUCACAGCACGUCAUACAGUUCAGAUUGUUUCAAACUAUCAAUAAAGUUCAGAUUGUUUCAAACUAUCAAUAAAGUUCAGAUUGUUUCAAACUA